rnacentral:rRNA from 1 species
UACGAAGGGGGCUAGCGUUGCUCGGAAUUACUGGGCGUAAAGCGCACGUAGGCGGCUUUCUAAGUCGGGGGUGAAAUCCUGGAGCUCAACUCCAGAACUGCCUUCGAUACUGGAAAGCUCGAGUCCGGGAGAGGUGAGUGGAACUGCGAGUGUAGAGGUGAAAUUCGUAGAUAUUCGGAAGAACACCAGUGGCGAAGGCGGCUUACUGGUCCGGUACUGACGCUGAGGUGCGAAAGCGUGGGGAGCAAACAGG